UGAAGAACCAACUGUCCCUACUCCCACCGCCGUCUCAGAUUCCUCGAGUGGCGCAUUGAACAGUCGAGCUAUAAUGUUUACACAUCGGUUCUGUUUUUCCAAACAAUUCAAAAUUAUAAUGUUUACACAUUUGUUCUGUUCCUAAAUAUUCAAAAUUAUGAAUCUUCUUUUUAAAAGAUUGAUAUAAGUGUUAUGACAAAUCAAAUUCCAUGCUCAUUUACUAUCACAUAACUUAUCUGUAGCUUUUACCAAAAGAAAAGACUAUUGGUACGAAAUUAGUGAAUCUACGAAUUUCAGUGAUCUAAUUGAUCAAAGUAUCUUUAG